rnacentral:rRNA from 1 species
CAGUCGCCACGGUAAUACAGAUGGUGCGAGCGUUAAUCGGAUUUACUGGGCGUAAAGCGUGCGUAGGCGGCUUUUUAAGUCGGAUGUGAAAUCCCUGAGCUUAACUUAGGAAUUGCAUUCGAUACUGGGAAGCUAGAGUAUGGGAGAGGAUGGUAGAAUUCCAGGUGUAGCGGUGAAAUGCGUAGAGAUCUGGAGGAAUACCGAUGGCGAAGGCAGCCAUCUGGCCUAAUACUGACGCUGAGGUACGAAAGCAUGGGGAGCAAACAGGAUUAGAUACCCGCGUAGUCCCUGUCUCUUAUAC